rnacentral:lncRNA from 1 species
CCCGCGUCGGGCUGGGAGAUGCGCCCUGCCCUGGCCCGAGGACGAAGGAAUCCGAGCUGGGGGCCUGGCGCAGAGGGGAAAGGGGGGCGCCAGGGUGAUGGGGACCCAGAGCCUGCUCUUGGGAACAGCCAGAGUAAGAUUGGAACCCAGACUUGCAGUCCAGCGCUGUUUGCAUUAAAAGGGGAAUUCUCUAGCAGAGGGAGGGGACCCACCCCAGUGAGGAAGUAGAUUGCUGCCUCUAGCCAGAGACCUGAACUGGGGAAUUUGAACAUUCCUUUACAUUGUUGGAGAAAUGAAGCCAAAGUUAUUCAGAUGGUUUUCCCAGGCUAAAGGAAAGUCACCUGCAAGAGAUCCCGGCACUGAUCUGGAGCAGCUGACAGGGUGGGUCUCCCUUACCAAAGAGAAGAACCACUCUCUGGCGCUGGGGUGACCUGCUGGCUGGGCCUGUAAGGUUUCCAUGUUGCUGAGGCCAUGGAGAUUCCCAGAGCUGGUCACACCGACCGCUCUCAGGGCCCGCUGCCCUGGGCUGGCAACACCAUUCUGGCCUUGGCCUGCAGAAGCUUUCAGAGUCUUCACUGGCAGUAGGGGGAGAUGGGGAGAGGAAUGAUCUCUGCCCAGCCCCUUCCUUUCCAAACCAUGCAAUGGAAGAGCCCAGAUGGGUGAAGAUUGAUUUUGCCUUAACUCAAGAGAAUUCCUGUUCUCCUUGUGCUAUGAUUUGGACACAAGAUUCUGGAUACCUGGAACUUAGCUGUGUACUCCUGUACCCUAAACAGUGGAUUUGAGUUCCAGCGUUUAUUCUUUUUUCCUUUUUUCAGAUCACCAUCUAAGUUACAUCUUUAGCUCAGGUCCAUCCUUCUCAAGAUCUCCUUCUUAGCCCCCCAGCCCCUGGUGCUGUCUGUGGUCAGGUGACCUUACUCAGGAGCAGAUAUCUCCUUGGCCGCCAUGGAGCCUCAUCCAUCCACACGUGCCUGUAGCAUUCCAGAGCUCACUGCCCUUCUAGAUGUGCCUUCCCGCUUGGCUUCCAGCGGCUUGUGCUCACUCUGUCUGCCAGGUAUGAGAAGAACACGUAAGACCGCCACCACACUCACCCUCCCUCAAGGCCCUGUGCCAUAGGGGUGGCCACCCGACCUGCCCCCAGAACUUUUGGAUACUGGAGGCAGUUGCAUAGGUCUCCCUCUCUGGGCACCAGGACUCAGUCCAGCCCAAGACUACUCUGGGCAGCUCCCAUCCCAGUCUGGGGCCAUUUGCAGACUCAGGAAAGGAUUUCUACAGUGUUCUAUAAAAGCCAAAAGAGAGAGUGGGUUUGGGAAGAGUGAGGGUGGUUGGGGAGAGGGGACCGAUGUGCCUCAUUGUUUAGUGGUGAUUACAAAUAUGCUUUUCUGGAUAAAGUUUGGU